rnacentral:rRNA from 1 species
AGAGUACGUGAAACCGUUCAGGGGUAAACCUGAGAAACCCGAAAGGUCGAAAGGGGAGAUUCAGCGUGUCUCGAUUGCGGCGCUGGAUUGUCGUGCGACGGAAGACGUACGCGUCAUCCGCACCUUCAGUCCUCCGAACCGUAGUCGAACGCGUGCACUUCUCCCCCUGUAGGACGUCGCGAUCCGUUGGGUGCCGGUCUAAGGCCCGCAGUGGAGUCCGUCCGGACGGUCCGCCGUUCCGGACGAACCUGCGGUGUUUCCCGGUCGGCUCGCUCGACGGUAUACAGAUGGCGCGGGGCCGCUACACAUUAGUUAGCGUCCGACCGGCGGCAAGCGCGCUCGUCGCGACGGUGAUCGGACCUGGUGCCGGUCCUGUCCCCGAGUGGCUGUUCGCUGCCGUGUUCUCGGACAGACCUCGUCGAAACGCCGAUCUGCGACGCUAUAGCUUUGGGUACUUUCAGGACCCGUCUUG